GACGAACGCUGGCGGCGUGCUUAACACAUGCAAGUCGAACGAAGAGCGAUGGAAGCUUGCUUCUAUCACUCUUAGUGGCGAACGGGUGAGUAACGCGUAAUCAACCUGCCCUUCAGAGGGGGACAACAGUUGGAAACGACUGCUAAUACCGCAUACGAUCUAAUCUCGGCAUCGGGGAUAGAUGAAAGGUGGCCUCUACAUGUAAGCUAUCACUGAAGGAGGGGAUUGCGUCUGAUUAGCUAGUUGGAGGGGUAACGGCCCACCAAGGCGAUGAUCAGUAGCCGGUCUGAGAGGAUGAACGGCCACAUUGGGACUGAGACACGGCCCAGACUCCUACGGGAGGCAGCAGUGGGGAAUCUUCCGCAAUGGACGAAAGUCUGACGGAGCAACGCCGCGUGAGUGAUGACGGCCUUCGGGUUGUAAAGCUCUGUUAAUCGGGACGAAAGGCCUUCUUGCGAAUAGUGAGAAGGAUUGACGGUACCGGAAGAGAAAGCCACGGCUAACUACGUG
rnacentral:rRNA from 1 species